AGCGUACACGGUGGAUGCCCUGGCAGUCAGAGGCGAUGAAGGACGUGCUAAUCUGCGAUAAGCGUCGGUGAGGUGAUAUGAACCGUUAUAACCGGCGAUUUCCGAAUGGGGAAACCCAGUGUGUUUCGACACACUAUCAUUAACUGAAUCCAUAGGUUAAUGAGGCGAACCGGGGGAACUGAAACAUCUAAGUACCCCGAGGAAAAGAAAUCAACCGAGAUUCCCCCAGUAGCGGCGAGCGAACGGGGAGGAGCCCAGAGCCUGAAUCAGUGUGUGUGUUAGUGGAAGCGUCUGGAAAGGCGUGCGAUACAGGGUGACAGCCCCGUACACAAAAAUGCACAUAUUGUGAGCUCGAUGAGUAGGGCGGGACACGUGGUAUCCUGUCUGAAUAUGGGGGGACCAUCCUCCAAGGCUAAAUACUCCUGACUGACCGAUAGUGAACCAGUACCGUGAGGGAAAGGCGAAAAGAACCCCGGCGAGGGGAGUGAAAAAGAACCUGAAACCGUGUACGUACAAGCAGUGGGAGCCUCUUAAUGGGGUGACUGCGUACCUUUUGUAUAAUGGGUCAGCGACUUAUAUUCUGUAGCAAGGUUAACCGAAUAGGGGAGCCGAAGGGAAACCGAGUCUUAACUGGGCGUUAAGUUGCAGGGUAUAGACCCGAAACCCGGUGAUCUAGCCAUGGGCAGGUUGAAGGUUGGGUAACACUAACUGGAGGACCGAACCGACUAAUGUUGAAAAAUUAGCGGAUGACUUGUGGCUGGGGGUGAAAGGCCAAUCAAACCGGGAGAUAGCUGGUUCUCCCCGAAAGCUAUUUAGGUAGCGCCUCGUGAAUUCAUCUCCGGGGGUAGAGCACUGUUUCGGCAAGGGGGUCAUCCCGACUUACCAACCCGAUGCAAACUGCGAAUACCGGAGAAUGUUAUCACGGGAGACACACGGCGGGUGCUAACGUCCGUCGUGAAGAGGGAAACAACCCAGACCGCCAGCUAAGGUCCCAAAGUCAUGGUUAAGUGGGAAACGAUGUGGGAAGGCCCAGACAGCCAGGAUGUUGGCUUAGAAGCAGCCAUCAUUUAAAGAAAGCGUAAUAGCUCACUGGUCGAGUCGGCCUGCGCGGAAGAUGUAACGGGGCUAAACCAUGCACCGAAGCUGCGGCAGCGACACUAUGUGUUGUUGGGUAGGGGAGCGUUCUGUAAGCCUGUGAAGGUGGCCUGUGAGGGUUGCUGGAGGUAUCAGAAGUGCGAAUGCUGACAUAAGUAACGAUAAAGCGGGUGAAAAGCCCGCUCGCCGGAAGACCAAGGGUUCCUGUCCAACGUUAAUCGGGGCAGGGUGAGUCGACCCCUAAGGCGAGGCCGAAAGGCGUAGUCGAUGGGAAACAGGUUAAUAUUCCUGUACUUGGUGUUACUGCGAAGGGGGGACGGAGAAGGCUAUGUUGGCCGGGCGACGGUUGUCCCGGUUUAAGCGUGUAGGCUGGUUUUCCAGGCAAAUCCGGAAAACCAAGGCUGAGGCGUGAUGACGAGGCACUACGGUGCUGAAGCGACAAAUGCCCUGCUUCCAGGAAAAGCCUCUAAGCAUCAGGUAACAUCAAAUCGUACCCCAAACCGACACAGGUGGUCAGGUAGAGAAUACCAAGGCGCUUGAGAGAACUCGGGUGAAGGAACUAGGCAAAAUGGUGCCGUAACUUCGGGAGAAGGCACGCUGAUAUGUAGGUGAAGCGACUUGCUCGUGGAGCUGAAAUCAGUCGAAGAUACCAGCUGGCUGCAACUGUUUAUUAAAAACACAGCACUGUGCAAACACGAAAGUGGACGUAUACGGUGUGACGCCUGCCCGGUGCCGGAAGGUUAAUUGAUGGGGUUAGCGGUAACGCGAAGCUCUUGAUCGAAGCCCCGGUAAACGGCGGCCGUAACUAUAACGGUCCUAAGGUAGCGAAAUUCCUUGUCGGGUAAGUUCCGACCUGCACGAAUGGCGUAAUGAUGGCCAGGCUGUCUCCACCCGAGACUCAGUGAAAUUGAACUCGCUGUGAAGAUGCAGUGUACCCGCGGCAAGACGGAAAGACCCCGUGAACCUUUACUAUAGCUUGACACUGAACAUUGAGCCUUGAUGUGUAGGAUAGGUGGGAGGCUUUGAAGUGUGGACGCCAGUCUGCAUGGAGCCGACCUUGAAAUACCACCCUUUAAUGUUUGAUGUUCUAACGUUGGCCCGUAAUCCGGGUUGCGGACAGUGUCUGGUGGGUAGUUUGACUGGGGCGGUCUCCUCCUAAAGAGUAACGGAGGAGCACGAAGGUUGGCUAAUCCUGGUCGGACAUCAGGAGGUUAGUGCAAUGGCAUAAGCCAGCUUGACUGCGAGCGUGACGGCGCGAGCAGGUGCGAAAGCAGGUCAUAGUGAUCCGGUGGUUCUGAAUGGAAGGGCCAUCGCUCAACGGAUAAAAGGUACUCCGGGGAUAACAGGCUGAUACCGCCCAAGAGUUCAUAUCGACGGCGGUGUUUGGCACCUCGAUGUCGGCUCAUCACAUCCUGGGGCUGAAGUAGGUCCCAAGGGU
rnacentral:rRNA from 1 species